AUGACAUCAACUGUGGCAGACGCAGUCUCCUCAAGCCAUGCCUUCCUCGGUGCCGACAGAUCUUACCACCAUCACCACCAUUGGGGGAGGCCCCUAAUUGAGAUGCAUCUCCGCCAGAUCGAGAGGCGACUGACCACACUAGAUCUAGAUUCUGGAUCAAUAUCAGGUGCCAGCGAUGUCGCUGAUGCGCUACUUCUAUUAUGCAACAAAGCAGGUCAUCUUAAAGAUAUGAGUGGUCAAUGUCAUUGGAUACACCUUUCAGGACUGGGAUAUACUCGAUUUGGGAGAACAUGGGCUUCUUGCUUCUCUUUCUAUCAAUUUACCAGCACAUAG
rnacentral:rRNA from 1 species